UUGACUAUUUUAUAGUGCUUCAGAGGGCAAGUUUAGAGAGUUUUUUUGCUUUCGGCGGGCUGUAGCUGCCCCGCCCUGGGGCAGCCCGCCGAGGCAACGUAGAAACGACCACAGUGGUUUGGAGUUUUGCAACUCUGUAAUGAUCCCUCCGCUGGUUCACCAACGGAGA
rnacentral:misc_RNA from 1 species